GCAAGUCGAGCGAGAAAGGUCUUCGGGCUGAGUAGAGCGGCGGACGGGUGAGUAACGCGGGGGAAUUUACCGAGUAGAGGGGGACAACAGUUGGAAACGGCUGCUAAUACAGCAUACGCCCUUUGGGGGAAAGCAGGGGAUCCUCGGACCCUGCGCUAUUUGAUGAGCCCGCGUUAGAUUAGCUAGAUGGUGGGGUAAAGGCCUACCAUGGCGACGAUCUAUAGCUGGUCUGAGAGGAUGAUC
rnacentral:rRNA from 1 species